rnacentral:misc_RNA from 1 species
UCCGAGUUGACCCCGGCAGUCUCCUACGAGUCCCCGCCAUUACGCGCUGGCAACAUAGGACAAGGGUUGCGCUCGUUGCGGGACUUAACCCAACAUCUCACGACACGAGCUGACGACAACCAUGCACCACCUGUGUACCGCCCCGAAGGACACCGUAUCUCUACGGCUUUUCCCUACAUGUCAAACCCAGGUAAGGUUCUUCGCGUCGCAUCGAAUUAAGCCACAUGCUCCGCCGCUUGUGCGGGCCCCCGUCAAUUCCUUUGAGUUUUAACCUUGCGGCCGUACUCCCCAGGCGGUGCGCUUAACGCGUUGGCUGCGACACCGGAGGGCUAGGCCCCCCGACGUCUAGCGCACAUCGUUUACGGCGUGGACUAC